UUAAGGAGUAAUAUUUGUGGUGGGAAAGAAAGAAGAAAAGGAUUAAAGAUAUGUUUGGGGCAAACAAUAAAAAAGAGGAAAUUAAACCUCAACCUCAACUCAACGAUAAGAAAAAUCCUCUUGACGCCCAUUUUCGUCCUCUAUUACUAUAAUACACUUGUUCCUUCACAGUUCACACUCUCUGCUUUUGCCGUAACACACGAACACAAACAGAAACACACAGAUAUGGCAUCAGCUACAGCUUCCCACACUUUUUGCGGCAUCCCAACCACAUCAUCAUCCUCUACAACCAACAGGGCUUCCACCCAUUCUGCUCGCUUCCUACUCAAAACUCCUCUCCGCCGCCUUGGCUUCGCCGGCGCUGUCGCUGAUCCUCUCUUCACCAACCACGUCGCAACCAAGCUCCGAUCCCUCAAGUCCUCCUCCAACCCUGUUAGGGCUGUUGUCUCCAUGGCCAAGAAGAGCGUUGGAGACCUCAGCGCUGCCGAUUUGAAGGGCAAGAAAGUCUUCGUCAGGGCAGAUUUGAAUGUCCCACUUGAUGAUGCCCAGAACAUUACCGAUGACACUAGGAUUAGAGCUGCCAUCCCUACCAUUAAACACUUGAUUGCCAAUGGGGCUAAAGUUAUUCUCUCCAGUCACUUGGGAAGGCCAAAGGGAGUCACUCCUAAAUACAGCUUAGCACCGCUUGUCCCCAGGCUAUCUGAACUGCUUGGAAUCCAGGUUGUGAAGGCUGAUGACUGCAUUGGUCCGGAAGUUGAGAAGUUGGUUGGUUCACUUCCAGAGGGCAGUGUUCUUCUUCUUGAGAAUGUAAGAUUCUACAAGGAGGAAGAGAAGAAUGAACCUGAGUUUGCAAAGAAACUUGCAUCAAUGGCAGAUCUUUAUGUGAAUGAUGCCUUUGGUACAGCUCAUAGAGCACAUGCCUCUACAGAGGGAGUUACUAAAUUUUUGAAGCCUUCUGUUGCAGGUUUCCUUUUACAAAAGGAAUUGGACUAUUUAGUUGGGGCAGUUUCAAAUCCAAAGAGGCCAUUUGCUGCUAUUGUGGGUGGUUCAAAGGUUUCAUCCAAGAUUGGAGUGAUUGAAUCGCUUCUGGAGAAAUGUGAUAUAUUGCUUUUGGGUGGAGGAAUGAUCUUUACCUUCUACAAGGCUCAGGGUCUUUCAGUUGGUUCCUCCUUGGUUGAGGAAGACAAACUAGAGCUUGCUACAUCACUCCUGGAGAAGGCCAAGGCAAAAGGAGUCAGUCUCUUGUUACCAUCUGAUGUUGUGAUUGCAGAUAAAUUUGCUCCUGAUGCAAACAGCAAGAUUGUGCCGUCAUCUGCUAUCCCAGAUGGUUGGAUGGGGUUGGACAUUGGACCAGACUCUAUCAAGACUUUCAACGAUGCUUUGGAUACCACAAAAACAGUGAUCUGGAAUGGACCUAUGGGGGUGUUUGAAUUUGACAAGUUUGCUACUGGAACAGAGGCAAUUGCAAAGAAGCUAGCAGACCUAAGUGGGAAAGGAGUGACCACUAUCAUUGGAGGUGGAGACUCUGUUGCAGCCGUUGAGAAAGUUGGAGUUGCUAGCGUGAUGAGCCACAUAUCCACUGGUGGUGGUGCCAGUUUGGAGCUACUGGAAGGAAAGGUGCUCCCUGGUGUCAUAGCUCUAGAUGAAGCAGACGCCCCUGUUGCAGUGUAAAACAAUUUGUACUAAAUUCUUUUUUCGGUUAACUUACCUAAAUCAGUGGUGAUUUCCAGUUGGGAAACAAUGAGUUGAAUGUUGUAGAUUUUUCAGGUGAUACUUGUCAUAUAAGGUCCUUUUUCCCCCCACCUAUUUUCUUUGUCUAAAUAAAGGGCGUGUAUAUCAGUUAUAGACAGCUACAGUUUUCAUGAUGUCUUUCAACAAACUUGUUUCAACUUCUUUAGAUGUAAGUACUUUUUUAUCUGAACAAACUAAUGCUGCGUGUUAAUAUUCA